UCAGUCCUCACUUGUACUCUCUGCAGGAAAGGAUUUUUAUUCACUGCACUACGUCUGUUUGCCAUCCCUCCAUCACUGAGUCAUGUGAGCCCAGCUGUGGCAGCAGGACAAGAAGGUCCAUUUCC